GGCGGUAGGCCUAACACAUGCAAGUCGAACGGCAGCACAGUAAGAGCUUGCUCUUAUGGGUGGCGAGUGGCGGACGGGUGAGGAAUACAUCGGAAUCUACUUUUUCGUGGGGGAUAACGUAGGGAAACUUACGCUAAUACCGCAUACGACCUUCGGGUGAAAGCAGGGGACCUUCGGGCCUUGCGCGAUUGAAUGAGCCGAUGUCGGAUUAGCUAGUUGGCGGGGUAAAGGCCCACCAAGGCGACGAUCCGUAGCUGGUCUGAGAGGAUGAUCAGCCACACUGGAACUGAGACACGGUCCAGACUCCUACGGGAGGCAGCAGUGGGGAAUAUUGGACAAUGGGCGCAAGCCUGAUCCAGCCAUACCGCGUGGGUGAAGAAGGCCUUCGGGUUGUAAAGCCCUUUUGUUGGGAAAGAAAAGCAGCGGGCUAAUACCUUGCUGUUCUGACGGUACCCAAAGAAUAAGCACCGGCUAACUUCGUGCCAGCAGCCGCGGUAAUACGAAGGGUGCAAGCGUUACUCGGAAUUACUGGGCGUAAAGCGUGCGUAGGUGGUUGUUUAAGUCUGUUGUGAAAGCCCUGGGCUCAACCUGGGAACUGCAGUGGAAACUGGAUGACUAGAGUGUGGUAGAGGGUAGCGGAAUUCCCGGUGUAGCAGUGAAAUGCGUAGAGAUCGGGAGGAACAUCCAUGGCGAAGGCAGCUACCNGGACCAA
rnacentral:rRNA from 1 species